GGAGUUUGAUCAUGGGUCACAAAGUACUUUGCCGGCACUCAUAAAACAUACCUCCGAAUUAAGUUCGAUAAUAAGUGGCAGAAGGGUGGGUAACAUGUGGGGAUUUUCCCUUUGGUUAGGAAUAACUCGAGGAAACUUGUGAUAAUACCUCACAGGUACCUCGGAGAAAACUUAGGCCCCAAACUCCCGCAAUGUGGCUAGUAGUUUAUGGUGAGGUAAGGGCUUACCAAGACUGUUGUCACCCUUGUCAUGAGAGGAUGAUCAACCACAUAGGGAAUCCUACCCGGCCCAAAUUCUUACGGGAGGCAGCAGUAGGGAAUCUUGCUCAAUUGGGGAAACCAUGCCCCAGCGAAAGGCAGUGAGUGAAGAAGGCCUCACCCCGUAAACCUCUUACGUAAAGGAGGAAAAAGACUUAAUGAAAAACACGGGUCCGGCGAUCUUCCUGCCAGCAGAAGCAAA
rnacentral:rRNA from 1 species